AGGUCACUGCUAUCGGGGUUCGAUUAAGCCAUGCGUGUCGAGAGGGUUCGGCCCUCGGCGUACUGCUCAGUAACACGUGGAUAACCUGCCCUAGGGAAGGGGAUAACCCCGGGAAACUGGGGAUAAUACCCUAUAGAUUACAGAUGCUGGAAUGCCCUGUAAUCCAAAGUUCCGACGCCCUAGGAUGGAUCUGCGGCCGAUUAGGUUGUUGUUGGGGUAAUGGCCCAACAAGCCCGUAAUCGGUACGGGUUGUGGGAGCAAGAGCCCGGAGUUGGAUUCUGAGACACGAAUCCAGGCCCUACGGGGCGCAGCAGGCGCGAAAACUUUACAAUGCGGGCAACCGUGAUAAGGGAACCUCGAGUGCCUGUAAAUGCAGGCUGUUCAGGUGCCUAAAACACACCUGAAGAAAGGGCCGGGCAAGACCGGUGCCAGCCGCCGCGGUAAUACCGGCGGCUCGAGUGGUGGCCGCUUUUAUUGGGCUUAAAGCGUUCGUAGCUGGGUUGUUAAGUCUCUUGGGAAAUCUGGCGGCUUAACCGUCAGGCGUCUAAGGGAUACUGGCAAUCUUGGAACCGGGAGAGGUGAGGGGUACUUC
rnacentral:rRNA from 1 species